rnacentral:rRNA from 1 species
GACGAACGCUGGCGGCGUGCCUAAUACAUGCAAGUCGGGCGGACAGAAGGGAGCUUGCUCCCGGAAGUUAGCGGCGGACGGGUGAGUAACACGUGGGCAACCUACCCUGUAGAUCGGGAUAACAUCGAGAAAUCGGUGCUAAUACCGGAUAAUCAUUUGAAGUGCAUGCUUCGAAUGUAAAAGAUGGCUCCGGCUAUCACUACGGGAUGGGCCCGCGGCGCAUUAGCUAGUUGGUAAGGUAAUGGCUUACCAAGGCAACGAUGCGUAGCCGACCUGAGAGGGUGAUCGGCCUCACUGGGACUGAGACACGGCCCAGACUCCUACGGGAGGCAGCAGUAGGGAAUCUUCCGCAAUGGGCGAAAGUCUGACGGAGCAACGCCGCGUGAGUGAUGAAGGUUUUCGGAUCGUAAAGCUCUGUUGUUAGGGAAGAACAAGUGCCGUUUGAAUAAGGCGGCACCUUGACGGAACCUAACCAGAAAGCCACGGCUAACUACGUGCCAGCCGCCGCCGUAAAAC